GGAAGUACCUGGAAGGCGUGGAUACCCUGGUUAUAUGUAUACGGAUCUUGCUACAAUCUACGAACGAGCUGGACGUAUUGAAGGACGUAAAGGAUCCAUCACUCAAAUCCCAAUCCUCACCAUGCCAAACGAUGAUAUUACACAUCCUACUCCCGAUCUUACUGGCUAUAUUACCGAGGGACAAAUCUACAUCGACAGGCAACUCUACAACAGACAGAUAUACCCACCAAUUAAUGUCCUUCCUUCAUUGUCUCGUCUCAUGAAGAGUGCCAUUGGUGAGGGAAUGACCCGCAGGGAUCAUGCUGAUGUAUC
rnacentral:misc_RNA from 1 species